GGCGCCAUAAGAGGAUGGCUGGUUACCAUAGGAAGCAAGGGAGGAGCCCUGAGCCCCAUAGGAAUUAAGCGAAGAAGCUGCAGCUGCCUGACCCCCAUAAGUGGAAAGGGCUGAGGCUGAGGGCUGGACUCCACCAUAUGGGCCAAGCGAGGAAGCUGCAGCAGACUGGGAACUAGGGCUAGCCAGCUGACCCCUGUAUGGGGCCCCAAGGGAGACAGAGGGCUGAGCACGUUUUCACGGUCACUUCAUACACAAGAAGUCUCAACAAUCCUGUAAGGAAAAGACCAUUGUCUUCUCUUUCAGGGACAGAAGAAUACCUUCGCCUUAGAAGACUAUUUACUGCUUUUUCAGGAAAAGUUUAUCCUGCCAACCUCAAGUUAAAAGUUCAAGUAAGAAGACAGAAAUGCCUUGUGAGGUUUAAAUUGAUGAAGGAUGAUAAUGGAGUCGUGACAGUUCUUCAAACCUAAACUAACCAGAGGUUUAUUU
rnacentral:lncRNA from 1 species